CAAAGACUAUUAAUGGUGAAGUUCCCAUCCAAUAUAUCCCACAUCGAAUUCUAAGGAAACAUGAGACAGAGCUGCGUAGUAUAAACGAAUCGGGCCCUGACUGAAUUAAGCAUACCUUUCUCGGCCUUUUGGCUAAGAUCAAGUGUAGUAUCUGUUCUUAUCAGUUUAAUAUCUGAUAUGUGGGCCAUUGGCCCACACGAUAUUAAAUUAAUUUUUUAAGGGGGAAGGCCCAUAAAGGUAGCUUGCUGCCUGGGCCUUCGAGCGUCGCCCAUGCGUUGCACUAUUGCACGGGCCUGGCGCACCCCACCAAAUCUAGUCCACAAAUCUUUCGAUGGGCCUUUUGAAUAAGCAUGUUCGGUUAAUCUUAACAUCAAUUGUAAUUAAACGAGUAAGGUUUAAUUAAAAACACAUUUUAUUAUUUAUUGGUCAAAGUAGGAAAUAAAAAAGUUGCCAAUUAGUUAAAGACGAGAAUUUAUUUUAUUUUUAUAUAAAAGUUGGCAAAAAUCAAUAUUUCCGAACACGGUUUGUAAACAAAAGGUGAGUUGAAAAGUAACUUUUUACAUUUUUUUUAAAGCUUAAACCGAACAUGUUUAAUAUUUACCUUCAAGCUCAACAUCAUUCUCGUGUGCAGGUUCUAACAUCGAUGUGCCAACAGGGACCUUGGUAUGCUUCUCUUCUCCAUCCUUGUCUACAAAUGUUACUGAUAUUCUGCAGUCUAACAGGAAAGCAUGUAAAGAACAGUUGGAAAAUCUGAUCCCCUUAUGCGUUUGCUCCAUCCAUACCUUAAUAUUCAAAAAUAUACUGACCUAACUACAUUGACUUGCAAGUGGUUUCAACAAAAACUGAUAGAUUAUCUAUUGACGGUUUGGUUUUAGCCUUGGUUAUUUCCCUCAGUGCUACAACUCCAUCCGGGUUUUACCCAGUUCAGGUUCUUUCAUCCCUUAUUUUAACAAGGGCUAUGCCAAGCACAUACCCUAUGAACCCUUUUCAGAACUUAACUAUCCAAUGGGAAGAAAGAAAAGCUGAAAAAAUAAGAGAAGUGCUACAGGUACAGCACAUUUGACAGCCCUCUCACAUAUAGGGGUCGCGGGCCCCACGUUUGUGAGAGGGCUGUAUGACGUCAUUUCCCAAAAAAAAAAGACAUACAUAGGAAGAAACGCUUAGAGUGCUUGCUUUUGCUUUUCUUCACUGCCUUCAUCUGCAUUCUUCUCAGCUGCAGUGCAAAAUGGUUCGUGCCUCCAAAAAGGGAGAGACGAAGCUUAUCCACGAGCAGCCAAAAAAAUAUCAGAGAACCCCACCUCCUGGUCUUCUUUUUUGGUUGGGGGACAGGGAAUAAUAAAACAAAGAAUUAAGCUAAAAUGACAUACUAAUUACUUCUACGUUCUUAAGCCCCUUCACCGUGUUAGCAUUCUUUUUUUGUUCAUACAACAUGCCUGCUUGUCAAAUAUAAAGGGCAUGAAGGCUUUCACUGCAGGUCCUUU
rnacentral:lncRNA from 1 species